GGAUCCAUUCAAUGUUGUUGAAAAUGAUCGUGUGUGUGUGUGUGUGUGUUUGUUUGUGUGUGUGUGUGUGUGUGUGUGUGUGUGUGUGUGUGUGUGUGUGUGUGUGUGUGUGUGUGUGUGUGUGAGUAAUGGUGUAAGGAAGUUGAAAUAGAGUAUUUGUAUAGGGGAGAAGUCUAACAGAAGGCCUAUCAGACAGGUGCCAACUGGUUCUUCUAAAGGCAGGAAAAUCUUAGAGACUUGGCCAAAGUCAGGGUUUCUGUUUUCUCUUCUAACUGCUGUAUCCAUGCUUGUGCAUCAAUUGCUGUGUCAAUCGUCAACCACAGAUGAACUUCAAAUGCAAUAGGUGGUGCACCAAGGAAACCUUCACUUUCAAUCCUUUCAAAUUUAUCAAUCUUGUAGGUGUACUUUUGUGACAGACUUGAUCUCAUCUGGUACUUGAAAUUGUCGCUGACACUUUGGUUGUGUGUUGUCCUUCUUUUCUUCACAAGUGGUGGUAUACAGUCAUCGGCGGCUACUUGUGCUUUCUCCUGAGAGUUUGUCACAUUGGCAGCUACUUGUUCUUUGUCCUGAGAGUCUGUCACAUCGAUGGCUACUUGUUCUUUGUCCUGAGAGUCUGUCACCAUGGCGUUCUCUGUUAUUUCAGUAGAUUUCUGUUUAGAGACAGUAGCUUCUUUUGACAGAGAGUAUUCAUUCUGAAAAUUUAGUUUCAGCUGCAGACAAAAACAACAGUUUGAGCCACUGGCACGUUUGUAUGCAUGUAUGGUAUAUGCAUGUAUGUUGAAAGACCUAAUGAAAUGGUCUAUUUCUGUCCACAUAAUUGAAGUUUGUUAAGAAGGA